rnacentral:rRNA from 1 species
AUUGAACGCUGGCGGCAGGCUUAACACAUGCAAGUCGAGCGAGCGGCGGACGGGUGAGUAAUGUCUGGGAAACUGCCUGAUGGAGGGGGAUAACUACUGGAAACGGUAGCUAAUACAGCAUACAAUCAGAUGUGCCCAGAUGGGAUUAGCUAGUAGGUGGGGUAAUGGCUCACCUAGGCGACGAUCACUAGCUGGUCUGAGAGGAUGAACAGACACACUGGAACGUAGACAAGGUCCAGCCUCCUACGGGAGGCAUCAGUGGGGAAUAUUGCACAAUUGGCGCAAGCCUGAUGCAGCCAUGCCGCGUGUGUGUAGAAGGCCUUCGGUUUGUAAAGCACUUUCAGCGAGGAGGCGUUGCUCGCAGAAGAAGCACCGGCUAACUCCGUGCCAGCAGCCGCGGUAAUAC